rnacentral:tRNA from 1 species
GUCUUUGUGGCCUAGUUGGUUAGGGCGUAGGUCUCAUACCAGCGAUCCUGUUACACAGGAAUCUACCUACAAGCGUCUAUGCUUAGAAAUCCUAAGAUCGGGAGUUCGACUCUCCCCAAGGACA